GUGCUCGGCCUGUGCAGCGAGACCUGAUCCGAGCCCACGCCUUCCUGUGAGCCACACGCCUCAUCUAGGCUCAGAGCCAGCAUUUCCGUCCUCGCCCACACUCAGGAGACCCAGGCAUUUCAAAUAGAACGGAGAGCACAGAACAAAGUCACGGCAUAAGAUCGUGCAUUCCACUUGGAAGAAAUAGUUCACCUACAAAGAAGCAAAAGGAAAAAAUCCUAACGCCACAUUCUGCAGGCACUGGAAGAUGUAUCUUGACAGCUUCAGAAGCUUGGCAGCUGCACCUUCUCAUCCAGACGGCGACUGCCUGGGGUGAUCGGGCUGCCUGGACUCGAUCUGACAUCCCCAGGAUAAGAAGAGGGCCUGAGGGACAGCAAAGGCAAGGACCGCCCAGAUGCCGUGUGUGA